UAUCAACAUCUUCUUGAAUCUCAAGUCACUUAGGUUUCUUGACAUCUCUUAUCUUAAUACAAGAAGCAUGGUUGACAUAAGUAUUUUCUCAAAUCUCACGUCACUUGGUCAUUUGGAUCUUUCAGGGAUUAAUUUGAAGAUCAGUUCAGCUCUCCAUCUUCUCUCUCACCCAUAGAUACGUUAAUUUGUUGAGUUUCCCAAGUUUCUUCAAACCAAAACCAACUUUUCUUUUGUAGACAUCUCUGCCAAUCGGAUUGUGGGGAUUACCAGUGCUGCGGUAUGUAAACAUUUUUCAGAAUUUCUUCAGUGGUUUUAAGGGAUCAACAAAUGUUAUUCAAAGAAGUGCAAAUCGUAUGCUUGAUAUAAGUUCAAACACAUUCCAUGAUUUUCCUUUGUUACCAAACUCAAUAAUGUUCUUUUCAGGCUCUGAUAAUCAGUUUUCGGGAGAGAUUCCUAGAGAAAUAUUCAAAUUGAUUGCUCUUGGACAGUUGUUUUGUCCAACAACAACUUCAACGGUUCAAUUCCUCGGUGUUUUAAGAAUUUUAAUAUUACUCUUUCGGUCUUGCAUCUUCAGAAUAAACCGCCUCUCUGGUAUUUUUCUAGAGGAUUCUAUCAGGGAAACCUUGAGAUCACUUGAUAUUGGUCACAGCCGGUUAUCAGGAGAACUUCCCAAGUUUCUGAUUGCACUCAACUCGAUCUUUUGAAUGUGGAAGACAACAAAAUCAAUGGUUCCUUUCCAUUAUGGUUGAGAUUGUCUAUUUCCAUCUCUUGCUUUUUGAUUAAGAAUUUUUUGUGUAGUGUUUUUUUUUUCAUUAAAAAUUAAGAAACUUUUCAAAAUGUUGUACUGUUUCUAUUCGACCAUCGUAUUACCGGACAUGAUCAGCUGAUGGCAUGGCAAGGGAUGGGAGGUCCGGCGGCGCAAGGCCUAAUCCAUAGUCCAAUAGUAAGGAAAGGCGAAAAAACAAAAAUUCUCAAGCCCAACAAUAUUGAAUCAGCCCUCUUCCCGGACUCACCUAUAUGAGCCGGUCCUGGACAGCUUUUGAGUCAGUUUCAACAAGGUAAAAAGAUGGCAAAGACAUGUUUCGAGAGACAAGAAAAAGAAAAAUAAAAAUAAAAAGUAAAAAGUUUUGAUUGAUAGGUCCCAGUCUUAUUAUCUUUUUCAUUGAGUUCUCACGGUAUUUAUAAGAAAACAGCAUAUGAUUUUUGAGUCUAUCUAGUCCAGUAAGAAUAUGGAGAAGAUAAAUCAUAAAAACAAUAAUAUCCUAAUCAAAUUAAAACUAUAAAACCAAAACCAUAAACCACAACUUGAGCCGGUCACGUUUCAUGAGCUCAUCAAUACCCUCCCCUCGAAAAUAACCUUGUCCUACUCAGGAACAAAUCUGCAAUCUGUUUCUGUUCUUCCCAUGUCCUCAACAUUUUUUUUUCUUUUUUUUUUUUAUAUACAUAAAGAAAUAGAGGUUUCGAUACUACAAAUAAUGUGGUCUGGAUCAAAACCGAGAAACAUGAUAAAAAUAGGUUUGAUACCAUAAAGUGUGGUCCAUAUCAAAACUGAGAUAGAUGGUGAAUGAAGGUUACUUUUGAUACCACGAAGUGGUUCGAAUCAAAAGCGAGAUGACGGCUCUGAUACCAAUUGAUAGGUCUCAAUCAAGAGCUAAAAGACAAUGAUACCAACCGUUUCUGAUAACUAAUUUUCAUUAUCUUUUACAUUGAGUUCUCACGGUAUUUAUAAGAAAAUACCACAUGAUUUGAGUCUAUCUAGUCCAACAGGAAUAAGGAAAAAAUAAAUCAUAAAAGCAAUAAU
rnacentral:lncRNA from 1 species